rnacentral:rRNA from 1 species
UGCAUGGUUGUCGUCAGCUCGUGUCGUGAGAUGUUGGGUUAAGUCCCGCAACGAGCGCAACCCUUGUCUUUAGUUGCCAUCAUUAAGUUGGGCACUCUAGAGAGACUGCCAGGGAUAACCUGGAGGAAGGUGGGGAUGACGUCAAAUCAUCAUGCCCCUUAUGCUUAGGGCUACACACGUGCUACAAUGGGUAGUACAGAGGGUUGCCAAGCCGUAAGGUGGAGCUAAUCCCUUAAAGCUACUCUCAGUUCGGAUUGUAGGCUGAAACUCGCCUACAUGAAGCUGGAGUUACUAGUAAUCGCA